rnacentral:lncRNA from 1 species
ACGACUUUGCUCCUCCAUUCGCAGACGUUAACGAGAACACAAAACUCCUCCUUAAUCAAACCUACUCUCUUAAUUUCCUGCUACCCUCUACCCUUCUAACUUCCUUGGCAAAGCGAAGAAAGAGUUCCAAUCUUGGGAAGGAAUUUUUGUCCGCAAGGAUAGAUGAUCCGUUCAGGAUAAUCUAGAAGAAGCUUGUAAUGUUAGGAAUACUCUGGAAAGUUAACUUUCAGGGUGUUCUUCAAUUGCCUUUUUGGAGCAAUAGGAGGUUUGAUUUUUGGUUACGAUCUUGGUAUUUCAAGUGUCUAAUAAUGUCGAAUUAAACAGUUUAUUUUUUAAGAUACAAUAAUCCAAUCUUGAUUUUUAUGUGUUUCUAAUUAUUUAUUUAUUUUGUAUACUAAUUUUAUGUCUAUGAUGUUUCCUGGUGUUGAAGAAGAAACAAAAAAUGAACAAUGAUUUGCACUGGUUUUGUUUGUGUUUAUUGUGAAUGAAUAAUUAAUUGUAGGAAUUCGAGGUUAGUUGAUAAGAGGUUCGAAGAUUGGAAUUAGGUUUUUUUCUUUAGUCUUGUGUUGACUUACGAUCCACAUUUUGUUGAUGAGAUAUUAAUUAAAUGUAAGUUACUGUGCUGAGAGUUUUUUUUUUUUUUUGCAGCCAUUUAGUUGUGUGUAUUGAUAGAGAAAAUUGAAGAAUCCAAUCAUUCAUAGUUUGAUUGCUCUGUUAUCUCUGUUUUUUGCAAUUGUUGUCUUUAUUAUUUGCCUGCCUUAUAUCUAAACAUAGUAUCCAAAGGACUAUAACAUUCACCUGAUCCGAUAGUUGUAUGGAGCGCAGCUAUGGUAUUAUGUUCAAGCAAUAUUGCAGCUCUCAAGUUCUUGCUGGGACUGCAAUCAACAUACGUAUGAUGUAUUUUUUUAUCAGUCAGUAUUUUUGCAAUUUUAUAUUGUGAAGAAAAGCAUGUCCUUUAUCUUGUUGCAAUUUUUGUUUUUUAUCUGUACUUUAUCUCUUGCUGCAUUACUGUCAUUCUUGCAUUUGAACAUAGAAGGAUGCACAUUUAUAUAUAUAUAGUCAUUUUUUACUGGAUAUUUAAAUUUUCUUGAGGUCUAUUUUAAACUAAUAUUCUGAUUCAAGUAAUUGCACAAAAUUUUGAAUAUUUGUGGUAAUUGCAGGAUGUUGCUGUGAAAAUUCUCAUGGAGCAAGAUUUUCAUGCUGAAUGCUUUAAGGAAUUUCUGAGGGAGGUGUGUUUUGUCUAGAAUUGAUUGUGAUAUGCAGUAAGCUCAAGAAUUUUUUUGAAACAUCGCUAUUGAUGUUUCUUGGAACUUUCGCUUAUGAAGUUCUGUUUUGACAAAAUAAUUAUCAUUUUUAUAAAAAAAAAAAUAUCGAACACAAAUAACAUAGUUAGAAUGUUAAGAUUUUAUAAAACAAUGCUAAGAGUUAUAAGGAAAAGUGGAGAAACAGAGAAGUGAAAUUGUAUAACACAACAGUGAAAAAUAAGUCUGUUGAAUAAAGAAAAGCAGAGAAGUCACGGUGUGGUGUGGGAUAAAAAGUUAUUUAAUGAUUUGUGCACCGAACGCACAGAACUUACGGGGAAGAACUCACGUUAUAAAGAAAGGAAUAUGCAGAGAACCCACACAGUUUUGUUUUGCAAAAAUCACUUGGCAAAAACCACUAUGACUAUAUAUAUAUAUACACAAUAUGACGUUAUUUAAUUUAAACUUAUUUCUAAAAAACAAUGCAGGAUCUUGUCUUACAAAGCAUGAGAUUGAA